rnacentral:snoRNA from 1 species
GUUGUCCUGGUGCUGGUCACAGGCUAUGUUCCUAACUGACCAUACAGAAAGAGGAGGGAGAGUAAACCCACCCCAUAUACACGUCAGACCAGCCCAUGUGCCCGGUCUAUAUUGUGAACGGGGAGACAUGG